AGGAGAUACACAAAUCCUUACAAAUAAGGGAUUACUAAUGCCACACUAUCCCAAGUAAGAGGGAUAUAGGUACCUCACAAACACUUAGUUGACUUUCCUUCAUAGAAACUCCCCCUCAAGCUGGAGCAUGAUGUUAAUCGUGCCUAACUUAUUGCAAAUGUAGUUAACUCAAGCUCCAUUUAGGGUUUUUGUGAAGAUGCCUCCCAAGUGCUUUCUAGUUUUAACACGACUUGUGAAAAUAAACUUUUCCUGAAUCUUGUCAUGAAUAAAAUGACU
rnacentral:misc_RNA from 1 species